rnacentral:rRNA from 1 species
AUUGAACGCUGGCGGCAGGCCUAACACAUGCAAGUCGAGCGGAUGAAGGGAGCUUGCUCCUGGAUUCAGCGGCGGACGGGUGAGUAAUGCCUAGGAAUCUGCCUGGUAGUGGGAGAUAACGUCCGGAAACGGGCGCUAAUACCGCAUACGUCCUGAGGGAGAAAGUGGGGGAUCUUCGGACCUCACGCUAUCAGAUGAGCCUAGGUCGGAUUAGCUAGUUGGUGGGGUAAAGGCCUACCAAGGCGACGAUCCGUAACUGGUCUGAGAGGAUGAUCAGUCACACUGGAACUGAGACACGGUCCAGACUCCUACGGGAGGCAGCAGUGGGGAAUAUUGGACAAAGGGCGAAAGCCUGAUCCAGCCAUGCCGCGUGUGCGAAGAAGGUCUUCGGAUUGUAAAGCACUUUAAGUUGGGAGGAAGGGCAGUAAGUUAAUACCUUGCUGUUUUGACGUUACCAACAGAAUAAGCACCGGCUAACUUCGUG